UACGGAGGGUGCAAACGUUGCUCGGAAUCAUUGGGCGUAAAGCGCACGUAGGCGGCCCAGCAAGUCGGGUGUGAAAGCCCUCGGCUUAACCGAGGAAGUGCAUUCGAAACUACUGAGCUUGAAUACUGGAGAGGAUCGCGGAAUUCCCGGUGUAGAGGUGAAAUUCGUAGAUAUCGGGAGGAACACCAGUGGCGAAGGCGGCGAUCUGGACGGAUAUUGACGCUGAGGUGCGAAAGCGUGGGGAGCAAACAGG
rnacentral:rRNA from 1 species